CCCUUAGAUGUCCUGGGCUGCACGCGCGCUACACUGAUGCGUCCAAUAAGCACCUAACCUAAUCCGAAGGGACCGGGUAACCUUAGCAAAGCGCAUCGUGAUGGGGAUAGAUUAUUGCAAUUAUUAGUCUUGAACGAGGAAUUCCUAGUAAGCGCAAGUCAUCAGCUUGUGUUGAUUACGUCCCUGCCCUUUGUACACACCGCCCGUCGCUCCUACCGAUCGAGUGAUCCGGUGAAUACUUCGGACUGCAACCGGUGCGGUUUCCGUACCCUUUGCAAAAAGUUGAAUAAACCUUAUCACUUAGAGGAAGGAGAAGUCGUAACA
rnacentral:rRNA from 1 species